rnacentral:rRNA from 1 species
CUCGAACGGCAGCGGGGGAAAGCUUGCUUUCCUGCCGGCGAGUGGCGAACGGGUGAGUAAUACAUCGGAACGUGCCCUGUAGUGGGGGAUAACUAGUCGAAAGAUUAGCUAAUACCGCAUACGACCUGAGGGUGAAAGUGGGGGACCGCAAGGCCUCAUGCUAUAGGAGCGGCCGAUGUCUGAUUAGCUAGUUGGUGGGGUAAAGGCCUACCAAGGCGACGAUCAGUAGCUGGUCUGAGAGGACGAUCAGCCACACUGGGACUGAGACACGGCCCAGACUCCUACGGGAGGCAGCAGUGGGGAAUUUUGGACAAUGGGCGAAAGCCUGAUCCAGCAAUGCCGCGUGUGUGAAGAAGGCCUUCGGGUUGUAAAGCACUUUUGUCCGGAAAGAAAUGGCUCUGGUUAAUACCCGGAGUUGAUGACGGUACCGGAAGAAUAAGGACCGGCUAACUACGUGCCAGCAGCCGCGGUAAUACGUAGGGUCCAAGCGUUAAUCGGAAUUACUGGGCGUAAAGCGUGCGCAGGCGGUUGUGCAAGACCGAUGUGAAAUCCCCGGGCUUAACCUGGGAAUUGCAUUGGUGACUGCACGGCUAGAGUGUGUCAGAGGGAGGUAGAAUUCCACGUGUAGCAGUGAAAUGCGUAGAGAUGUGGAGGAAUACCGAUGGCGAAGGCAGCCUCCUGGGAUAACACUGACGCUCAUGCACGAAAAGCGUGGGGAGCAAACAGGAUUAGAUACCCUGGUAGUCCACGCCCUAAACGAUGUCAACUAGUUGUUGGGGAUUCAUUUCCUUAGUAACGUA